rnacentral:rRNA from 1 species
UCAGCGGCGGACGGGUGAGUAACACGUGGGUAACCUGCCUGUAAGACUGGGAUAACUCCGGGAAACCGGGGCUAAUACCGGAUGCUUGAUUGAACCGCAUGGUUCAAUUAUAAAAGGGGGGUUUUAACUUCCACUUUCAGAUGGACCCCCGGGGCAUUAACUUGUUGGGGAGGGAACGGGUUACCAAAGGGACAAUGCGUAACCACCUGAGAGGGGGAUUGGGCACACUGGGACUGAGAAACGGGCCAAACUUCUACGGGAGGGAGCAGUAGGGAAUUUUUCCCAAUGGACGAAAGUUUUACCGAGCAACCCCCCGUGAGUGAUGAAAGGUUUGGGAUCGUAAAACUUUUUUGUUAGGGAAAAACAAGUACCGUUCGAAUAGGGGGGGCCCUUUACAGGCCUUACCAAAAAGCCCGGGUUACUUCUUGCCAAGCCCCGGUAAUACGUAGGUGGCAAGCGUUGUCCGGAAUUAUUGGGCGUAAAGCGCGCGCAGGCGUUUCUUAAAU